GAGCUAUGAGGAUAACUUUGAUAUUGAUCAGCUUGAAGUGAUUGUAAUAUACGCUAUUCUGAGCUCUUC
rnacentral:snoRNA from 1 species